AGAGGGUGGUUGAUCUCACUAGCCAUUUGUGUGGAGACACUAAUACAAAGAUGUGGGUGCUCUUUGAAAAUGAAUCCACUGAAUUGACUCGAUGACAGAGAACAUCUUAUGGAAGCCAUAUUUGCUGUCAAAAGAUGGUUCUCUAAGUAAGAGUUGUGCAGAUGAUCUUUAGACCUAAGAUCAUCAUGAAAUCUUGUGCAUAUGAAUCCAUAUUUUGAUUCAUACUCAAGCAUAGCAUUAAGAUAUGUAUGAAAUAUUCUGGAUAUGGUAAAAUAUGUACAAAAAUUAUGAGUCAGACAAUAAGGAAUCGAUCACUCCUAGU
rnacentral:lncRNA from 1 species